rnacentral:rRNA from 1 species
CACUUUUAACUAUAUUUUAUAUACCGCCGUCUUGAAUAGACCUAAAAAAUUUUAUUCAAAAGAAAAUUCUAAAAAUUUAGGUAAAGGUGUAAACUAUUUAAAAGAUAAAAUGUAUUACAUUAAAUAAAAUUUAAGGAUCGAAUUAAACAUAACCUCGAGAAAAAGGAUUUAUAAGUAUUAUUUAAUUAAUAUUAAAAUUUG